GGCCCGUUGGUCUAGAGGUAUGAUUUUCGCUUUGGGUGCGAGAGGUCCCGGGUUCGAACCCCGGACGGGCCC
rnacentral:tRNA from 1 species